rnacentral:piRNA from 1 species
UAUCCCAGAGGGUGACACAGAUGCCCCAGA